AGAACUUUCCUCGUCAAGGUCUGCCUUGCCGUAGUGCAGUUACACGAACAAUUAUUUCAUCUCUGUCCUCGUAAAGAAUAGUGGUUCCGGAAGAUCUUCAUGGGAAUAUUGAAUAGGAAUGAAGAGUAUAUCGUUCUGUUAACGGCUUAUCAAAAAUCAAUAGCAUAUUAAUCCGUUCAUCUGUCAGUUGACUUGUAACAUUGACUUGUUUUAUUCAUGCCGGGAAACUAGGAAAAAACUCGAGGUAGCUUACACAGGACAGGGGUUGGACACGGCUGGUUCUAUCAGUUUUCUCGGGAGAAGGAUAGAACAAUAGGAAACACGGUCCAAGAUAAGGGAAAAACGGUCUAAGAAUGAAUAACAGUAAAAUUGAGAAGGAGAACGACAGCAAUGACUUCACCAAUCACGAAGAUGAGGUUCGGACGCUGUUUGUCAGUGGACUACCCCUGGAUAUUAAACCUCGGGAGCUUUAUCUACUUUUCAGACCAUUUAAGGGUUAUGAAGGCUCCUUGAUUAAACUCACCUCAAAACAGCCGGUGGGGUUUGUCAGUUUUGACAGUCGAUCAGAGGCAGAGGCUGCCAAGAAUGCCUUGAACGGUGUCCGCUUCGACCCGGAGAUCCCUCAGACGCUGCGCCUGGAGUUUGCCAAAGCCAACACCAAGAUGGCCAAGAACAAGCUGGUGGGCACCCCGAACCCCCCUGCCUCCUUGCAGAGCCCCGGCCCCCAGUUCAUCAGCCGAGACCCAUAUUCGCUGGCUCCCUCCUGCAGAUGGAUCUCCCCAGGGAUGGAAAUCCAGGCAGUUCUGCUGAAGUAUGUGUUCCUGAUGUGUGAUGGUGGUCUCGGUUGGCCCUGACGGCGUCGCCGGCGGUUCUCACGUCCAAACUGAGGACUCGUGACCUCGUUCGCCGCCGAGUGGACCGUCGACAGCGACAACUCUUGGGCCUGAGGUCUUCCUAUCUGCCAUCACACAUCAACCCCCCCCCCCACCACCCGCUCCUUUUUUUAAACUGUUACAUUCUCAAUAAUGAUUGGUGAAACUUUGGUUCAAGUACAGUACAUAAGACCUAAUGAUGCUUUAAUGACAAUUACUUAGCCUAAUUCAAAGGCAACGUUCCAAUAUCCAUGCUAGCAAAGAUUGCUGGGCGAUUGUGCUUAUUGGAACAAGACCCUUGAAAACCCUUUGUUGAAAUUCACAAACCUUUUAUUAUUUGGCAUGAGACCACCCGUGUUGAAAAACAAAGUAUAUUGCUUUACACUGAAAAGUGGAAUUUUUGGACAUAUGAGUUGGGAUUAAACGUUUCGGAUUGUAAACGCGCGUGAAUGAAAGUCUUAUUUACAUACAGUACAAUCAAAAUGUUACCAGAUUAUAUUAUUACUGACUAUAAUUAUUACUAUUCUGUAAAACUUUCUUUAUUAAUAAUAUUACUAUGUGUAAAAGCAUGACUUGCCAAAAGAAGAAAACAAAAAGAAAAAAAAAGAAAAAUCAAUGACAAUGCUGUAUAUUUUAAGAUAUUUUAAUGAUAAACCAAAGUGUAUUUUUGUAAUCAAGCCAAUGUUUCAAAUGUUUGAUUGUUCUUUGUGUACAAAGUGUGUGAAGAAUAACGUUAGAGACCAUCGAUCUUCCUUACUUUUCCUAUGGGUCCUACCAGGCUGAUGGAUCUGCCAUAAAAACAAGAUAAACUAUUUCUAACAGUGUACGUUUUUGCUGUGACGGUAAGGAUUUGAAUUUGUUUGUGGGGCUUUACGUCAGUCCCUAGGCUUUUUAUAGGAUAAAGCACCAAACCAAUGCCAAACACGAUCAAUCUCUUGGGAAUUUAACUUCUACAUUAUGGUGUGCACAUUAUUAUUUUAGACAACUGGGUUAUGGAAUUGUGCGACCUAUACCUAGAUCAAUUGGACGUCAGACAAGAACGCAAGUGCUUAGCCAAUCAGUAUCUUAUGACAUCUGCGAUGCUUGGAUGCCAGUUGGCAGUCUAGAAUACCUGUGUAAUAUUUUCAAAUCAGCACUAUGUAAAAUCAUCCGUUUUUCUUACUAAUUCUGAAAGCUCCUAAAAGAAAAAUCUGACACCAAUUUGUGAGGGGAAAAAACUGAUUUGGGCUGCCUGUUUAAACGCAGCAUAUGGGUGGUUUCCCUUGUCCUGAUUCAUUCUACUCCUGGACUAAGAAAGCACUUCUACUGGGACUUCGGAUUGAAAAUAGUUUUUAGUCCCCGGGUUUAAUGUUGCGUGGGAAAUCAGCCCUACACUUUAAUGUAAACCAGAAGAACAGUGCAGCACACAAAACAACACGGGCCAAACUGGUGCUUUCGUAUGCGUAAAGGUUUGGCUCGUGGAAUUAUUCCAUGCCAACACCUGUGUCAAAUCCUCUGAUAUAGUCUGAAGUUGUGCUGUUAUUUCCUGCCUUCGCCUGCUUGCCAGAGCGUCCUAAGAUCCCGAAAGAAGUAGCUUUCAAGUGUUUUCUGUGUAAUCUACUGCUUGAAAAGACUGGUUCAGCAACAUUGUGUUAAUGUUUUUAGAGUUUGUUAAUGUUUUUACUAGAGGUAAUCAGUUGACUUAAGUUAACUGUUUGUAAUUUUACUGUCCAUGAUUAAUCGCAUUGUCUGAAAGCAUCAAAAAGAAACUGAAAACAUUGGUGAGACAUCAUCUCUACAGGUCGCCUAUACAGGUAAAACCUACAUAUCCAUGUUAGAGCAUUAAAAUACGAGUGUAAUGUGUUUUGUAUGAAAAGUCUUUAAACGACUGGUUGCUCUUAACCAGCAAAUCCUGCGAGUUGACUCUUCGACGGCCCACAUUUUUACCAAAGUGGGUAACAGAAAUCAAGAGUAAUCUUUCUGGUUGUAAUGUGGCUUACCGAGUUUGCUGUUUUAAGAUUUCAGUUCGGUUUGCUGCCGGUUGUCUUGUACUAUAAACACACGCACACAGGUACUGAGUCUCGUGUUUCCAUGUUACGUUCAACCGAUGAGUUGUUGAUAACACGUGGAACAUGGGACGGAACUAAAAACAUUUUGACGUUGCUCUGGAGAAUGUGUAAGACACCCACACAUAAAGGGCCUGCUGUACAUAAGCAUUGUAAAUGCAUUCAUCUAGGUAUAUUCCUUUUAAAUGCCGAUGCAAUUAACCUUCCAGAUCAAAAGUGUCACUGUGAGUUCACAAACUUGGGUCGUUCAUAACCCAGAAUGUGUGAUCGUUUGAAACCUUUUUUUGUCAUGUUAAAAAUAAGAUUUCUUUUUGUGUUUUUCCAUUUCCAGUAGAAAUCUCAAAACUAGUGCAUAAGUACCCCAAAAUUCACAAUACUCCACCGCUCUCAUCACUUUAGCAAUUUUAUCCCCUUUAAAUUGUACUUAUCUCACUAUGUAGUGGUUACUCUUCCUAUACCCAGACAUGUUGGCCAAAACUAAAUCCCGUUAUUGUGAUGUACAUUUAUGGUGAUGUCAUAGACUGAUGAAAGGGAGGUUGUUGUUUUUUACUGUUUUGAUAGCAACCCCCCCCCCCAAAAAAAUAAAAAAUAAAUAAAUAAUGUGUUUUAAAUGUAAUGUUAACUUGUUAUUUUACCUGACAGCAAAAUCAAUGUGACGUGAUGAUGACAUCAUUAAGAAUUACAUGUCUUUAUCUGAUUGUAACCUGGGUAUGUGACUACAAAGAGGAAAACUGGUCAGAACCAGAAUAUGUUUAUGAAUAGAUCCAUGCCACAUUACUCUCACUGAGAUGUCAUUUGUCAAGUAGAGUUAAACAUAUGGAAGGACAUUUUGUUUCCCAACAUAACCUUUAAAGACAAAAAGUAAUAUUCAUUUGUUGGAUGGAAAAAUGUAUGUGUUGUUCUAAAUCUACUGUAUGAUUGAAUGUAUGUGCUAUGUGCAUGUUCAUAGCAUGUAUAUAUUGUUUUCUUUUUCAAUGCAUACUGUUGAAAUUCAUGUUUUGCUACUGUGACGAGAAUCCAUACUUCAGUGAAUUUCAGGGGCUCUUUGAGAUCUUUUGUUAAAACCAAAAAUAGAUGAGAAAAGGCUUUUAUGAUCAUGUAAAUGAAGACAGGGCAUAAGCCAUUAAAGAUUGAUGUUGCCAUUC